CAAGCAGCACGCAGGGCUAUGCUAGGAUCAGGGCCUUCGUCGAGGACUGGAAACAGAAAAAGAAUCAAACUGAUGAAGAAAGAGAGGCCAGACUUAAAAAGGAAAGGGAAGAAAGAGAGAAGGAAAGAGAAAAAGAAAGAGAAGAAAGACGACAGAGAGAAAAGGAAAGGGAAAAGGAAAGAGAGGAACGUGAAAGAGAAAGGGAAGAACGGGAAAAGAAAAGACGAGAGGAGAGGGAAAAAGAAAGAGAGAGGGAAAGAGAUCGCUCCAGGCGUAGAAGAUCACGAAGCAGAGACAGGCAUCGUAGAUCAAGGAGUCCGAGGACGUAGAUCUAGAAGUAGGUCAAGAGAUCGUCAUCGUUCCCACCGCAGAAGGUCAAGGUCAAGUUCCAGAUCUCGCACAAAGGAUCGUGACUCAAGGCGCAGCAGCAGGAGCAAGGAAAAAAGUAAAGAAAGACGAUCUCGUAGCAGAGACAGAAGAGAGUCCAGGGACAGGAGGUCCCGGAGCAAGCGAUCCAAGAGUCGAGAAAGGUCAGAUGACAGAAAGUCAGGAGACAAGAGGGAAAGGUCCUCAGACAGAAAAUCAAAAGAGAGAGAAGAAGAAAGUAAAGAUGAAAGUGACAACAAAGGAACUGAAAUGGUCAAUUCUACAAAUGAUGAAAAUGAACAAGAGGAGGCACAGCCUGAGAAUACUGAGAGCCAGGAUGCUGUUCCCAAUGACACUGAGGCACAAGAAGACAAUUAGAAAUUGAGGUGACAUAAUCUGUGUCAAUGACACCUGACCAGGUAAGUGAUAGCCGUGCUGGACUUGUUUACAUCUUCCUUUCAGGUCACAGGUAAGAGGCCCAACCCCAGCCCCGUAUUAGAUAGAUAAAUGUCUUUCAUUGAACGAUUAAUUUUUUUUUUAGACUUUGAGUUAUUAUAUUCCAAGUGGAGUCUUCUGUGAGUAGUAGUCAAGGAAAGUUUGUAAAAAAUGAAAGAUUAUUCAAUUGUAAAUAUGACCUCCUGACCUGAACAUAAUUAACCAUGAAGGUUUUAACAUUGGUGAUGUGGACUGUUUUGUAUUCAAAACUAACCAGUGUUUUUCUCGUCGAGACUAAGAAUCAUAAGUUUAGAGUCUGCAGGGCAGGAUGGCUCACAUUCUCUCACUAAGCGGACCAAUUUCAGGAUGAGAUAUACGUGUUUUGUUAAAAUGAUUUCAAUGCAGGUGAGAGUUAAAACUAUACAAUGGAUAAAAUAGGCUUUUCAUUGAAAACACAGUCUUAGAAUUGCAAUUAUUUUGUGAAUAUACUCUCUUUUCUUUUCUUAUCAUUGUAAAAUUCAUGCAAGUUCUUAAGUAGUAUCAAGAAACAGAAAGUAGGAAUCCCAGUAAAAUAAAAAGGUAAGUUUUAGACGUUUAGUAACCAAGACAUAGAAGAACUACAGACGAGAUUGAGGAGGAGGAGGUAUUCAAGGUGUUGUCAAAUUCCAGCUGUAUAACGUGAUAAUUCUGCAUGAGAAACUUCAUGUUCCGCAAAUGAUAGGACAUGGAGGACACUUGGUAUCAGAACCUGGUUUUGGGGGGCUUUAGAAGUCGUUCGUUUGUUAAGAGAGCUGUAUAAAAUGAAAAUAAAAGGUUAGUGAAUAAAUGGUUGAAUAAGAUAAUCCACCAUAGAAAUUGGUGAUACACAGAGAAACGUUAAAAAUGAGGUUAGUGAAGCACUCUCACGGCUGCUGCUGGUACCUUCCGAAAAUGCGUGAGCGACAUUGCAUGCCCAAGAAAUUCCAAGGUUAGUGGCAUCUGGAUGUCAAUGUCACUCCAAAAAACAAUGUACAUAAAAAGAUGAUGCUUCUGUUUUCAGUUUCCUUGAUACCUUUGCGAAAAUAGCUUCAUGGUUGUGUAGAAGCUUGGAUUGACUAUACUGUCAGUGAUACUUAAAAACAUCUCUAUACAUUGCCAGGUGAGAACUUCGAAGAAAUUAUCUCAUGUAUACCUAUGGACAUUUUUCCAGUAUAUUCCUGUUUGAAUUAAGAAUUAAUUUCUGUAUUGUUGCCAAGCUUUGGAUAAACUUGUUUACAUAUCCAACACUGAACUGUUUGUUUGGAAAUAAACUUUCUUGUACUU
rnacentral:misc_RNA from 1 species